AACGCACCUUGCGCUCCUUGGUAUUCCGAGGAGCAUGCCUGUUUGAGUGUCAUUAAAUUCUCAACCUUUAUCAGCUUUUGUUGAUACUGGCUUGGAUAUGGGGGUCUAUUUUGCUGGCUUCUUUACAGAUGGUCAGCUCCCCUUAAAUGCAUUAGCCGGUGCCCCGCGUGGACUGUCUAUUGGUGUGAUAAUUAUCUACGCCGUGGAUAUCUGCAAUCAUAUGGGUUUGCACUGCUUCCAACCGUCUGUUCAUUCGGACAAUACUUGACAAUUUGACCUCAAAUCAGGUAGGACUACCCGCUGAACUUAA
rnacentral:misc_RNA from 1 species